rnacentral:rRNA from 1 species
GACGAACGCUGGCGGCGUGCCUAAUACAUGCAAGUCGAGCGAAGUUUUUCUGGUGCUUGCACUAGAAAAACUUAGCGGCGAACGGGUGAGUAACACGUAAAGAACCUGCCUCAUAGACUGGGACAACUAUUGGAAACGAUAGCUAAUACCGGAUAACAGUAUUUCUCGCAUGAGAGAUAUUUAAAAGUUGGUUAUGCUAACACUAUGAGAUCGCUUUGCGGUGCAUUAGCUAGUUGGUGGGGUAAAGGCCCACCAAGGCGACGAUGCAUAGCCGACCUGAGAGGGUGAUCGGCCACACUGGGACUGAGACACGGCCCAGACUCCUACGGGAGGCAGCAGUAGGGAAUCUUCCGCAAUGGGCGAAAGCCUGACGGAGCAACGCCGCGUGAGUGAAGAAGGAUUUCGGUUCGUAAAGCUCUGUUGUUAGGGAAGAAUGGAUAUGUAGUAACUAUACAUGUAAGAGACGGUACCUAACCAGAAAGCCACGGCUAACUACGUG